UUUCCCUGACACACUAGCUUGAGGUGCCCCAGUUCCCCGAGACUGGACCGGAUCACUUCCGGUGGGGAAAGUCCCACCUCUUCGGAGCGAGGCCCUUGCGCUCGGGCCGCGCCCUGCUGAGCUAGACGGCUGGGGACUGUUUCUGGUCGGGGCUGUGGCCUUGGCAGAGGGCCUCUCGGAGGACCUCCAGCGCCCUCCCUUUCCGCGCCAGCCCGCAGCUGCUGCUGAUUCUGCUGCUGCUGACAGUCCCACCCCAAAGCCAGUGAAGCCCCUCCUUGUCUCAGCUGCCCUCAGCUCCGCCUGAGUACUUGAUGAGCUCGUUGGCCUGUGCAGGACGGCCAAUAAUUAUCUAACGACCGGAGAACGCCAAACAUCCCUGGACUAGAAGUCGCGAGGAACAUAAAACGGCCAAGAAAGUUUAUUCUCUUUGCUGGCUCAGAAAACAAAAGGAUUGCAAAUAGACUUCACAGGUGCUCCAACUCAGCUUUGCCUCCCUUUGAUUCCAACAAAGCUUCACAGCAGGAAAGUGGAGCUCAGAGCCUGCCACCAAGCCUCCUGCUCGCUCCAGCUCCGUGACCACAGCCAGC